rnacentral:rRNA from 1 species
CACGUAGGGUGCGAGCGUUGUCCGGAAUUAUUGGGCGUAAAGAGCUCGUAGGCGGUGUGUCGCGUCGGCCGUGAAAACCUGCAGCUUAACUGUGGGCUCGCGGUCGAUACGGGCAGACUAGAGUUCGGUAGGGGAGACUGGAAUUCCCGGUGUAGCGGUGAAAUGCGCAGAUAUCAGGAGGAACACCGGUGGCGAAGGCGGGUCUCUGGGCCGAAACUGACGCUGAGGAGCGAAAGCGUGGGGAGCAAACAGG